CUCUUGUAUUUUUUUUUAGCAUUACCAUAUCCUAUUUGGCAAUGAAUUUCAUAUACUAGAGUAUGUUCUUAAGAUUGGAUUGUCUAAAGUGAAAUUCAUUGCCAAAUAGGAUAUGGUAAUGCUAAAAAAAUACAUGA
rnacentral:pre_miRNA from 1 species